GCCUCUGUAGCUCAACGGUAGAGCGUAAGAUUCUUACAGUCCCUCUGACUGGGUAAGGGUCUCAAGGCCAUGGGUUUGACUCCCACCUGAGGCA